AUCGAACGCUGGCGGCAGGCCUAACACAUGCAAGUCGAGCGAGCGGCGGACGGGUGAGUAAUGUAUGGGGACUGCCCGUUAGCGGGGGAUAACUACUGGAAACGGUAGCUAAUACCGCAUACUAUCGGAUAACCCAUAUGGGAUUAGCUAGUAGGUGGGGUAAUGGCCAACCUAGGCGACGAUCCCUAGCUGGUCUGAGAGGAUGAUCAGCCACACUGGGACUGAGACACGGCCCAGACUCAUACGGAGGCAGCAGUGGGGAAUAUUGCACAAUGGGCGCAAGCCUGAAGCAGCCAAGCCGCGUGAAUGAAGAAGGCCCUAGGAUUGUAAAGUACUUUCGGUCGGGAGGCGUUACCGACAGAAGAAGCACCGGCUAACUCCGUGCCAGCAGCCGCGGUAAUUC
rnacentral:rRNA from 1 species